rnacentral:pre_miRNA from 14 species
UUAACCCAUUUAACAACUCAACCCAUCAAAUUAAAUGAGUUAUGGGUUGACCCAACUCAUUUUGUUAAAUGAGUUGGGUCAACCCAUAACUCAUUUUGUUAAAUGAGUUGGGUCAACCCAUAACU